rnacentral:misc_RNA from 1 species
AAAGUCGUAACAAGGUUUCCGUAGGUGAACCUGCGGAAGGAUCAUUAUCGAUUCUGAAUAGGAUGUGCUGGCUUCUUUCAUCCAGGAGCACUUGUGCACUCUGAACCACUUCAUUCACCUGUGCACCCGUUUGUAGGCUUGGGGAGGAGCAAUCCCCCUUAGUCUAUGAUAUUUUUUAAUACAUACACCAUUUGAUGUUGUUGGGUAACAAGCUGGAAAUACAAUACAACUUUCAACAAUGGAUCUCUUGGUUCUC